AGAAUCAACGCUGGCGGCGUGCCUAACACAUGCAAGUCGAACGAGAAAGUGGUAGCAAUACCAUGAGUACAGUGGCGCACGGGUGAGUAACACGUGACUAACCUACCCUGGAGUGGGGGAUAACUGAGGGAAACCUUAGCUAAUACCGCAUAAUACCUACGGGUCAAAGGAGCAAUUCGCUUCAGGAGGGGGUCGUGGCCGAUUAGUUAGUUGGCGGGGUAAUGGCCCACCAAGACAGUGAUCGGUA
rnacentral:rRNA from 1 species